UUUAUUGGCCAGUUUGAAGAUCGAUUUGAAUCUAGAUUCUUGAAGUUUUAUCUACCGUUUGAAGCAGCUGAUUGGGUAUAAUUUCUCGUACGACGAUUUCGAUCCACACAAUCAAGCAAAUAUAUUGAGUUGCUGCAAAACAAAAUGCUCAGUUCAAUGGAUGAUGGUGUUAGUGUUUGCAGGCCCAUAUUGAAGCUGCUGAAUGGUGAAGAAUGGGACCUGUCUCUCCAGCACGAUUAGGGCUUCUGAAUGGUGAAGAAUGGGACCUGUGUCUCCAGCACG